AAAUGGGAAGACGUGAUGCGGAGUGAAGUUUAGUAAUGAAGUCCGUGAGCUGUGCGUCAAGAAAAGCCGCUAUUGUUCAUACCAUACCCGUACCGUAAACCGACACAGGUGGAUGAGGAGAGAAUCCUAAGGCCGGCGGAAGAAGCAUUGUCAAGGAACUCGGCAAAAUGACCCCGUAACUUCGGGAGAAGGGGUGCCUGCGAGAGCAGGCCGCAGAGAAUAGGCUCAAGCAACUGUUUAGCAAAAACACAGGUCUAUGCGAAACCGAAAGGUGAGGUAUAUGGGCUGACGCCUGCCCGGUGCUGGAAGGUUAAGAGGAGAGGUUAGCGGUAACGCGAAGCUUUGAAUUUAAGCCCCAGUAAAACGGCGGCCGUAACGAUAACGGUCCUAAGGUAGCGAAAUUCCUUGUCGGGUAAGUUCCGACCCGCACGAAAGGCGUAAUGAUUUGAGCGCUGUCUCGACAAUGCAUCCGGUGAAAUUGAAGUACCAGUGAAGAUGCUGGUUACCUGCGCCAGGACGGAAAGACCCCAUGGAGCUUUACUCCAGUUUGGUACUGGGAUCCGGUACUGCAUGUACAGGAUAGGUGGGAGGCUAUGAAUCGGUAACGCCAGUUGCCGAGGAGCCGCUGUUGGGAUACCACCCUUGCAGUAUUGGGUUUCUAACCAGCCGCCGUGACCCGGCGGUGGGACAAUGCCAGACGGGGAGUUUGACUGGGGCGGUCGCCUCCGAGAGGGUAUCGGAGGCGCCCAAAGGUUCCCUCAGGAUGGACGGAAACCAUCCAAAGAGUGCAAAGGCAGAAGGGAGCUUGACUGCGACACCGACGGGUGGAGCAGGUACGAAAGUAGGGCUUAGUGAUCCGGUGGUAUUAAGUGGGAAUGCCAUCGUUCAACGGAUAAAAGCUACCCUGGGAUAACAGGCUUAUCACUCCCAAGAGUUCACGUCGACGGAGUGGUUUGGCACCUUGAUGUCGGCUCAUCGCAUCCUGGGGCUGUAGUAGGUCCCAAGGGUUGGGCUGUUCGCCCAUUAAAGCGGUACGCGAGCUGGGUUCAGAACGUCGUGAGACAGUUCGGUCCCUAUCCGGCGUGGGCGUAGGAUAUCUGAGAGGAGCUGUCCUUAGUACGAGAGGACCGGGAUGGACGGGCCGCUGGUGCACCGGUUAGACUGCCAAGUCUAUAGCCGGGUAGCCAAGCCCGGAAGGGAUAAACGCUGAAGGCAUCUAAGCGUGAAGCCCCCCUCAAGAUGAGAUAUCCCAUCCGAAAGGAGUAAACCCCCUUGAAGACGACGAGGUUGAUAGGGCAGAGGUGGAAGUGUGGUAACACAUGGAGCUGACUGCUACUAAUAGGGUGAGGGCUUGAC
rnacentral:rRNA from 1 species